rnacentral:rRNA from 1 species
GACGAACGCUGGCGGCGUGCCUAAUACAUGCAAGUAGAACGCACAGUUUAUACCGUAGCUUGCUACACCAUAGACUGUGAGUUGCGAACGGGUGAGUAACGCGUAGGUAAUCUGCCUGGUAGCGGGGGAUAACUACUGGAAACGAUAGCUAAUAUCGCAUAAUAUUAAUUAUUGCAUGAUAAUAAAUUGAAUGGCUCAAUCGCAUCACUACCAGAUGGACCUGCGUUGUAUUAGCUAGUAGGUGAGGUAACGGCUCACCUAGGCGACGAUACAUAGCCGACCUGAGAGGGUUGACGGCCAAACUGGGAACGGGACAAGGCCCAGGAUCCUACGGGGGGCAGCAGGAGGGAAUCUUCGGCAAUAGACGGAAGUCUGACCGAGCAACGCCGCGGGAGUGAAGGAGGUUUUCGGAUCGUAAAACUCUGUUGUAAGAGAAGAACGAGUGUGAGAGUGGAAAGUUCACACUGUGACGGUAUCUAACCAGAAAGGGACGGCUAACUACGUG